UGACCCCCUCAAGCUUCGUGCUUGGUGUUGGACGGCUCGGUGGACCCCUCCACCCGUCCUAAAGACAAUGACGGCGGCCUCGCGGAACCCCCGGUACACUGAGCUUCUUAACUGAGCACGUAUCGGAUCAAGGGCGCCCGGGGCACGGUCCUCUUCCCCUCGGGGAAAAUUUUCUCAA
rnacentral:misc_RNA from 1 species